rnacentral:rRNA from 1 species
AUUGAACGCUGGCGGCAGGCCUAACACAUGCAAGUCGAACGAGUGGCGGACGGGUGAGUAAUGUCUGGGAAACUGACCGAUGGAGGGGGAUAACUACUGGAAACGGUAGAUAAUACCGCAUACCAUCGGAUGUGCCCAGAUGGGAUUGUCUAGUAGGUGGGGUAACGGCUCACCUAGGCGAAGAUCCCUAGCUGGUCUGAGAGGAUGACCAGCCACACUGGAACUGAGACACGUUCCAGACUCCUACGGGAGGCAGCAGUGGGGAAUAUUGCACAAUGGGCGCAAGCCUGAUGCAGCCAUGCCGCGUGGAUGAAGAAGGCCUUCGGGGUGUAAAGUCCUUUCAGCGAGGAGGCGUUACUCGCAGAAGAAGCAGCGGCUAACUCCGGGCCAGCAGCCGCGGUAAUUC